CUGUUCAGAUACACAAAAAGCAUUUUGGAAAAUAAAUACGUAUCUUUUCAUGUUUUCUUUUUUUUCUUUUUUUUUUUUAUAAUGCUAGAGGAGUAAUUGCAGUAAACUGCUGCUUAUGGGACAACUUGUAUUUUAAGUGUUGUACACUCAUCUGCUGACUGGGGCUGGGCCCUCAGCAGACAAGACUUAUUUCAAUUGAGGCUUUUGCUUUGAACUUGGAAGGAUCCCUUCCAUUUUAGUGUUUGUAGACCACUAGGCUGGUCUGUUUAAAGUGACUGAAGAUAUAACGGUUUAAAUGGACUCCUGGCUGUGCCAUCAUUCCUGCAAGUUACCAUCUGGCCAAGUCUGACCCUAACACAUGCCAGAAAGGAGGAACAAGCAUUCCUGUGCCUCUUAUUCACUAGCCUAUGAAAGGAGCGGGUUAGGGUUAAUGGCACAUCCUGGCUCUUGACAAGGGUUGGUUUGUUGGACUUUAAUUCUCUUAUGCCAAGCAGUUUUAUUAACUUUUUAAUUAUUUUUUUGUAUUGAACAUUGCCAUUAUUGAGUUUGUUGUAUUCCUACAACUGUGCCCAUCCUGAUCUUUACAUUGAAACAUCUUCCCUAGUUCUGUUUGCAUAGUGAGCAGGUGUUGCCUUACUCCUGCUGAUUCCUAUAGUUAAAGUAACAUUCCCCUCUGCACCUGCCUUGUUUUCCCACUGUAGUCUUCCCUUGACUGGCCUCAUCUCAUCAAGGAUUUGGGGCAUAGUUGUUAUUGAUUUCAAUGGGGAACAGAUGUGAGAUGGACCUAGUGCUAAUUCAACAGUAAUAAGAAGUACAUUUUCUACAAAAGCAUAUAUGCAUCCCUAUUCCUUGAAGUUGCAGCACUUGUACAUCUCGUUCCUACACCUCUUUCCUUUCCGCUUCCUCCUUUUGUCACUUUAUUGCUCUCUCCACUCCUGGCCUUUCCAUUUGGGUGGAUUGAAAACAAGGGGUUGCGGAAAAGGGUUAACCAAGAAGAGCUGGUAGGAUCUAAUACUGGUUGUGUCUUUGUGCAAGACUUGGUAGUGUUGUAAAUAAUUACUGUAGAGUCAGUAGACUCAUAAUAUUACGGAAAAUAAAUCUGUCAUUGAGCAAGUUAACUUUUAAGACCCAACUAUUGAAGAAUUAAAAACA
ensembl:lncRNA